rnacentral:tRNA from 1 species
AGAAACUUAGGUUAACAUAGACCAAAAGCCUUCAAAGCUUUAAGUAGAAGUGAAAAUCCUCUAGUUUCUG